AUUGAACGCUGGCGGCAGGCCUAACACAUGCAAGUCGAGCGAGAUCUUCGGGUCUAGCGGCGGACGGGUGAGUAACGCGUGGGAAUAUGCCCUUCUCUACGGAAUAGCCUCGGGAAACUGAGAGUAAUACCGUAUACGCCCUUUGGGGGAAAGAUUUAUCGGAGAAGGAUUAGCCCGCGUUGGAUUAGGUAGUUGGUGGGGUAAUGGCCUACCAAGCCGACGAUCCAUAGCUGGAUUGAGAGGAUGAUCAGCCACACUGGGACUGAGACACGGCCCAGACUCCUACGGGAGGCAGCAGUGGGGAAUCUUAGACAAUGGGGGCAACCCUGAUCUAGCCAUGCCGCGUGAGUGAUGAAGGCCCUAGGGUUGUAAAGCUCUUUCAGCUGGGAAGAUAAUGACGGUACCAGCAGAAGAAGCCCCGGCUAACUCCGUGCCAGCCGCCGCCGUAAGAC
rnacentral:rRNA from 1 species